GACGAACGCUGGCGGCGUGCCUAAUACAUGCAAGUAGAACGCAGUGGCGAACGGGGGAGUAACGCGUGGGAAACUGCCUCAUUGCGGGGGAUACAUAAUGGAAACGAUAGUUAAAAACGCAUACUGUAAGAUGGACCUGCGGUGUAUUAGCUAGUUGGUGGGGUAAAGGCCAACCAAGGCGACGAUACAUAGCCGACCUGAGAGGAUGAUCGGCCACACUGGGACUGAGACACGGCCCAAACUCCUACGGGAGGCAGCAGUGGGGAAUCUUCCGCAAUGGACGGAAGUCUGACCGAGCAACGCCGCGUGAGUGAUGAAGGUUUUCGGAUCGUAAAGCUCUGUUAUUAGGGAAGCGGUAACUAAACAGAAAGCGACGGCUAACUACGUGCCAGCAGCCGCGGUAAUAC
rnacentral:rRNA from 1 species